rnacentral:rRNA from 1 species
CCCUUAGAUGUCCUGGGCCGCACGCGCGUUACACUGAUGCAUUCAACGAGCUUAUAACCUUGGCCGAGAGGCCUGGGCAAUCUUGUUAACGUGCAUCGUGAUAGGGAUAGAUUAUUGAAAUUAUUAAUCUUGAACGAGGAAUUCCUAGUAAACGCAGAUCAUCAAUCUGCAUUGAUUACGUCCCUGCCCUUUGUACACACCGCCCGUCGCUCCUACCGAUUGAGCAUCCCGGUGAAGACUCAGGAGAUAUGUACGUGGCUGGUCUCCAGCUGCGUUGCGUGCCGAAUUUGUCUAAACCUUGAUGCUUAGAGGAAGGAGAAGUCGUAACA